AAUAGCUCAGUUGGUUAGAGCACCUGACUCAUAAUCAGGUGAUCCCUGGUUCGAGUCCAGAUGAGGGCGCCA
rnacentral:tRNA from 1 species